rnacentral:rRNA from 1 species
CGACGUCGCGUGGAGGAGGACGGCCUUCGGUUGUAACUCCUUUUUCGGGUAAGAAACAAAUGACGGUACCCGAAGAAUAAGCCCCGGCUAACUCCGUGC